rnacentral:lncRNA from 1 species
CUUUUUUUUUUUUUAAUUUUUAUUUAUGAUAGUCACAGAGAGAGAGAGAAAGGCAGAGACACAGGCAGAGGGAGAAGCAGGCUCCAUGCACCGGGAGCCCGACGUGGGAUUCGAUCCCGGGUCUCCAGGAUCGCGCCCUGGGCCAAAGGCAGGCGCCAAACCGCUGCGCCACCCAGGGAUCCCUACCCUUCUUGUUUAAAACAACCUGCAACUCGGUUUCAUGUUUGGUCUUUACUUGAAGACCCAGGGAACUCCAAGCUAGUGGAUGAAACGGAAAGCCCCAAAGAAAGAAUAAAGGAGUUAAGCAGGAAGCAGAAAGGGGUGCUCGGCGGGCCGCAGGGAGGGGACCCACACCCCGUCCUCCGGGCGGGCACUGGCGUUUUCCAGUCUCCCAAGACCAUUUUACGGACGAGGAAACGCGUCGUCAGCUCCCUUCAGCAGCUGAUGCAGCCAGACCGACGGAGCCUGCUUUACGACCGGUGGCCCUGUUGACUGCACCCGGAGGCUGCAGUGUCCCCAGCUUCCCGCAGGCCCGGAAGAGCCGCGCAGCCCAGAGUUCCUUGAUUGACCGUCCAGAGUGAGCCCGGAAGGGCGCCCGAGCAAGGAGAAAACAACUCACACCACGUUCCCCCACCCCCGGCCGGGCCAGAGCCCUGCCCUUGCCCCAUGUAAUGUGCAUCUGCUGUAUACCCAGGCCCAGGUUAGGCCCUUUCCUAGGCGGACUUGGGGAAACCUGAAGGUUGGGGGUGGGAGGGUGGUGAGUUCACUAAAUUAAGUUCAGAAGCUGAUUUGCUUUGCUUUUGUUUUUCUUUUGGCCAACCUCCAGCACCAUCAUUCAGCCAUUCCAUCACCCUCUGUGGAGCACCUACUGUGUUGUGUGCAGGGCCUCUGUGGUAGGCCAGGGUUUUCCACCAUCCCUCAUCACCUCCUCAGUUGAUGCUCCCCUAUGGGCCAGGAAAUACCCACCACAAUGAAGAAGUCCGCUUUAGGCUGAUGUCACAAUUUCUCCUUUAGGUCGACCCCCUUUUCUGUUUUUACUUAAGUAAAUAUAUUUCAAAAGGGAAACUUAAUGUCACCACCAAGAAUGGAAAACCAGUUUAUCUUGCCAUAAAUAGAAAGAAAUUGAAAAAACGAUGAAAUGAGAGCAAAACCCAGGAAUUCCUUCCUCGGGGACACUCUGGGCCAGGCCCAGAGCGGGAAUGUCUAAAUAUCCAGAAAGCGUUAAAAGCAGGGAAGCCCCAAGCCAAGCCAAAGAAGGGUGCAGGAGAGGCCACGGGAAUCCACUUUGUGGUUUUGUUUCUGAGGGCCCCAGCACACAGUAGGUGCUCAAUAAUGUGCCAAGCCUUGGCAGUGAGCACCUACUAUGCGUGGGGUUUACCUGCAUCCACCAGCAUCCUUUCAGGGCCUUCGAGUUUAUAGACCCAUUUCCAGGGUCACAAAUGAAGGUGGUGGUGGUGGCAGGUAGCAGGGACCCCACAGGGCCUCUCUGGGG